CACACACACCAUAGAGUAAUAAUAUCUAAUGUUAUUUGUUUUAAAUAACUCACGUCUUCCCUCCUUCAGAUAUUAAUGUCAGGAUGCUUCUAACCAGCAGAUAUUUUUUAAAUCUUUUUUUUCAGUUCCCCUUGUAUUUGGGCAUAUGAAUUACUGCGAAUUUUUACAAGCACUCGAUGCAAUAUUAAUCACGCUUUGCUGAUAUAAAAUGCAAUACUUUCGGUCAGCUUUCGGGGCGUUUAGAGGAUGCAGGCGAGUGGAGGAGGUCGGUGUUCAACAGCACAGAAAUCUCCUCCAUAUUGCUUUCUUUAGCUUUUGGCUACAUGGACAGAAGAGUGAGCGUUUUCUCAUCAUGAGAGAAAACCUGCACCCCCUGUCCUAUGAUGACAACAACCUCCAUGAAACAAAUGCAUACUGUUGCCUUAAGGUGGGGAGAGGGAUUCUAAGAAGAUAUCUGUAAGGAAAUAGCCCUCAUUCAGAAGGUUCACCGCUGGGACGAACUAGAUCAAAUGAAAACAGAUGAAUGAACAGUUUCUACAAAUGAAAAGAAAGAGUGAAUGGAUGAACCACCACCUGGGAAUUGUUUUGGAACUCUUAUGGUCGCUGACCUUGGUGCUGAAAAGCAAGCUACUCCUGGGAUAGCCACCCACGCACGUUAAAAACAUUAAAGUCCAAUUAAAAUAUUGUUACAUGCUUUCAUGGAUCCUUUGAUGGUAUUUCCUUCUUUUUUACUGCUGGUUCAUCCGUACUCAGCUAGUUGCCCUUUCAUUGAGAGCUUGUACAUGGGGUGGGAUUUUGGGCUAAGGUGAAGGCAUCUUGCUUUUUAAUCUAUGGGGGAGGGGUGGGAAAUUGUUGUGGGGUAUUUUAAAAACGUCCCCCAUUGGAAGAUAUUGAAUAUCUUCCUCUGUACACAUGGACUUCAAUAAUGAGGAGAGUGUCGGCUACCAUUUGCCCACCGCCACACCAUCAAAUAUUCAUCACUGUUGAUUAAACAGCCGGCAGCUGUCGAUCGUCCGGGUGUCAAAUUUGUGUCCAGCCCAGAACACAAAGGACUGUCGCCCUGAAAUGUUUAGAGAAACUGUUCUGAAGUUUUCACCAAGCAGCAUCUAGAAGAAGGUGAGGGUCAGUGAUGUGCUGAAUAUAACUCCCACUCUCAAAAUAUAACAGGACUUAAGUGGACAUUUACGUUUAAAUCCUUUGACCAUCAGCCAGAAUGACAGAAAGAGAAAUGCACAUGUGUGUGGGUCAGGGUGUGUGUGAGUGAGAGGUUACUGUGAGGCACCUUAAAUAUUUCAUGAGUUGUUAGAGGAUGGGGUAGAGAUGGAGGACUGCCUGGGAAGGUUGGUUCAACUCUGCUGAACUGGAGCUUGGAAGCAUGCAGGGGAACAAAUGUUAAUGCAGUCUCUCUCUCUCUCUCUCUCUCUCUCUCUCUCUCUCUCUCUCUCUCUCUCUCUCACACACACACACACACACACACACACACACACACACACACACACACACACACACACACACACACACACACACACACACACACACACA